UUGGAAGGUGGGGACUGCGGCUGGACACCUCCUUUAAGAAAAGGGUCUAGACCCCACACACGCCACUCGGUAAGGAAUUGGGCCUAUAGCUCAGCUGGCUAGAGCACACGACUGAUAAUCGUGAGGUCAGUGGUUCGAGUCCACUUGGGCCCACCAAAUGGGGCUGUAGCUCAGUUGGGAGAGCACCUGCUUUGCAAGCAGGGGGUCACCGGUUCGAGACCGGUCAGCUCCACCACAGGGAUGGAAGGCCCGCAAAGAGCGCGGGCUGGUCGCUGGGGAAGCGGUAUGGAAGUGAUUUGGGAUUGGAUUUUUAAGGGGGAAGUGUUAAUGGCCCUUUUUAGAGGUGUGAAAUUAAAAGGGGCUCUUGUGCUCUGUGCCCUCUCAAAAUGUGAGAGCGCUUUAUUGUGCUCUUAGACAUGAGAAAAGGGAAGCGCUGUGUGUGCUCUUGUGCAUAGGGGACCCCUCCGGGGGGGCGUGGGGAUAUAUGGGCACAAGAAAAUAGGCAUAUAGUGGAUACGUCGUGACAGACACGCGACAAAAGAGACGUGUACCUGUGAAAAACCUCUCGGAGAUGUGAAUAUCGAUUUGAGCCCCGGAUAUCUCAGAGGGGACAACCCCCCCCCA
rnacentral:tRNA from 1 species